rnacentral:lncRNA from 1 species
CUGCAUUUUAUUUAGUUGUAAUCUCUGUUCUGCCUUUUUAUUUUUCACUAUAUUUGGUCCUGCCUUUUUUAUAUAAAUUUAUCCCGUGUUUUUGCCCAGUUGCUCAUCCUGCCUUCUUUUUUUCUAAACAAUCCUGUCUUUUUUAUAUAAAUUUAUCCCGUUUUUUUGCCCAGUUGCUCAUCCUGCCUUCUUUUUUACUAAACAAUCCUGUCUUGCCUUUUUUAUACUCAAAUCCCUGUCCUGCAGGCUUUUUUUAAAUUUCAUCAUAGCCCUCUCCCCCUCCCCCCCCCCCCCCCAAAAAAAAAAUCAAAUGGUAGCCCCCUUAACUUGGACUCGGAACUUGGAAUAAAAAAAAACAAUUAAUAUUACACCACCUUUUUAAAAUCAAAAUCCUAACCUCCUAUAACAAUGUAAAAGAUAUAUUAUAUAUAGGCCUAUUUCGUUUAUUUCGUUGUAUUUCGUUUCUUCAUUUUCCAUUUCGUUUCGUUUCGUUUCUUCAUUUUGUUUCGUUUCGUUAUAUUUCGUUGCGUUUCGUUGUAUUUCGUUUCGUUUCGUUAUAUUUCGUUUCGUUUCGUUUCGAUUCCGUUUCUCACUUUAUAAGUACCC